AAUAGGUUACCCCAGUCUAAUAUGUUACUCCAGUCUAAUAUGUUAACCCAGUCUAAUAUGUUAACCCAGUCUAAUAGGUUACCCCAGUCUAAUAUAUUACCCCAGUUUACUAGGUUACUCCAGUCUAAUAGGUUACCCCAGUCUAAUAUGUUACCCCAGUCUAGUAGGUUACCCCAGUCUAAUAUGUUACCCCAGUCUCGUAGGUUACCCCAGUCUAAUAUGUUACUCCAGUCUAAUAUGUUAACCCAGUCUAAUAGGCUACCCCAGUCUAAUAUGUUACCCAGUCUAAUAGGCUACCCCAGUCUAAUAUGUUACCCAGUCUAAUAGGUUAACCCAGUCUAAUAGGUUAACCCAGUCUAAUAGAUUACUCCAGUCUAAUAGGUUACCCAGUAUAAUAUGUUAACCCCCUUUCUAGUAGGUUACCCCAGUCUAAUAGAUUACCCCAGUCUAAUAGGUUACUCCAGUCUAAUAGGUUACCCGCUAUAAUAUGUUACCCAGUCUAAUAGUUUACCCCAGUCUAAUAUGUUAACCCAGUCCAAUAGGUUACCCCAGUCUAAUAUGUUACCCCAGUCUAAUAUGUUCACCCAGUCUAAUAGGUUACCCCAGUCUAAUAUGUUACCCAGUCUAAUAGGUUACCCAGUAUAAUAUGUUAACCCCCUUUCUAAUAGGUUACCCCCAUCUAAUAGCUUACUCCAGUCUAAUAGGUUACCCAGUAUAAUGGUUACCCAGUCUAAUAGGUUACCCCAGUCUAAUAUGUUACCCAGUCUAAUAGGUUACCCAGUCUAAUAGGUUACCCCAGUCUAAUAGGUUACUCCAGUCUAAUAUGUUAACCCAGUCUAAUAUGUUAACACAGUCUAAUAUGUUAUCCCAGUCUAGUAGGUUACUCCAGUCUAAUAUAUUACCCAAGUCUAAUAGGUUACCCCAGUCUAAUAUGUUAACCCAGUCUAAUAGGUUACCCAGUCAAAUCAAAUCAAAUCAAAUCAAAUUUUAUUUGUCACAUACACAUGGUUAGCAGAUGUUAAUGCGAGUGUAGCGAAAUGCUUGUGCUUCUAGUUCCGACAAUGCAGUAAUAACGAACAAGUAAUCUAACUAACAAUUCCAAAAAAAACUACUGUCUUAUAACACAGUGUAAGGGGAUAAAGAAUAUGUACAUAAGGAUAUAUGAAUGAGUGAUGGUACAG
rnacentral:lncRNA from 1 species